AGUUUGCGCAGUAAAGCAUUUGGAUGACUUGUGGUUAGCGGUGAAAUGCCAAUCGAACUCGGAGAUAGCUGGUUCUCCUCGAAAUAGCUUUAGGGCUAGCGUCAUGUAAUAUAGCCAACGGGGGUAGAGCUCUGUAAACGACUGGGGCGGGCAACUGUACCCACCGUUAACAAACUACGAAUACCGUUGGUGGUACCAUGGCAGUUAGAACAUCGGGGCUAAGCUCGGUGCUCAAAAGGGAAACAGCCCAGACCAUCAUCUAAGGUCCCUAAAUUAACACUAAGUGGGAAACAAGGUGAAAUUUCUUAAACAGCGAGGAUGUUGGCUUAGAAGCAGCCAUUCAUUUAAAGAGUGCGUAACAGCUCACUCGUCAAGAGAUUUUGCGUGGAAAAUGUAACGGGGCUAAAGUGUUAUACCGAAGAUAUGGAUUUCGUUAUUCCUACGGGUUUAACGGAGUGGUAGAGGAGCGUUCCUAUCGGCAGUGAAGCUCAAUCGUAAGGUUGGGUGGAGCGUUAGGAAGUGAGAAUGCUGGAAUGAGUAACCAUAAGAAAGGUGAGAAUCCUUUCGGCCGUAAGAGCGAGGUUUCCAGGGCUACUGUAAUAAUCCCUGGGUUAGUCGGGCCUAAGCCGAGGCGUAGCAGCGUAGGCGAUGGACAUCAGGUUAAUAUUCCUGAACCGGUUAUAAUUUGUAUACUGUGUACGGUAAAUUAGUCGAAGCGGAUUAUUGGUAUAUAUCCGUCCAACUUAGCGGGAACGCAAAAGGAGUGAAAGUUAAUCUACGGAUUAACGAUUUUGAUGAAAGUACUGGCUAGAAAAGCAGAUAUACGCGUGGUUAUAGCCGCCCGUACCGCAAACCAACACAGGUGCUCGAGUCGAGUAGACUCAGGCUUACGAGAGACCCUUCGCUAAGGAACUCGGCAAAACAGCGACCGUAACUUCGGGAUAAGGUCUGCCUCCGCAUCAUUCGAUGUGAGUCGUGUUUCAAGCAAUUAGGUUAAGAUUAAUGGUAUAUAUGAGUAUCUUAACCUUCUUUACCGAGAUAGACAAGUCAAAUGGCUUAGCUUGGAACGCGGUAACCUCGUGUCAAACGAUGCGGAGGCCGCAGCAAAAGAGCCCACGGAACUGUUUACCAAAAACACAGGUCUCUGCUAACACGAAAGUGGAUGUAUAGGGGCUGACUCCUGCCCAGUGCUGGAAGGUUAAGGGGAGUGCUUUACGGUGCGAACUGAAGCCCCAGUGAACGGCGGCGGUAACUAUAACCGUCCUAAGGUAGCGAAAUUCCUUGUCAGGUAAGUUCUGACCCGCACGAAUGGAGUAAUCAUGUGGGCACUGUCUCGGCGAAGGACUCGGUGAAAGUGCAUUGGCGGUAAAGAUGCCGUCUGUCCAUGCCAGGACGAGAAGACCCCAUGGAGCUUUACUACAGCUUUACAUUGACACGGGUUACAUCAUGUGUAGCAUAGGUGGGAGGCUUUGAAGCAGAUACGCCAGUAUUUGUGGAGCCACAGGUGAAAUACCACCCUUGAUGUAGUCUUUGUCUUACCAUUGCCGUUAUCCGGUAAUGGGACCGUGUAUGGUGGGUAGUUUAACUGGGGCGGUUGCCUCCUAAAGAGUAGCGGAGGCGUUCAAAGGUUGGCUAGCUUCGGAUGGAAAUCGAAGUGAUAGUGCAUGCGCAAAAGCCCGCUUGACUGCGAGAAUUACAAUUCGACCAGAGUGGAAACACGGAGCAAGUGACCCGCUGUAAGAACAUUGUUCCUGGAGGGGGAGCACCUUCCAAGGGUUCGGCUGUUCGCCGAUUAAAGUGGUACGCGAGCUGGGUUCAGAACGUCGUGAGACAGUUCGGUUUAUAUCCGGCAUGGACGUAAGGAUUCUUGAGGAGAUUUGUCUCUAGUACGAGAGGACCGAGAUGAACGAACCUCUGGUGUAUCGAUUGUGGCCACCUGCUGCAGUGUCGAGUAGCUAUGUUCGGUUAAGAUAAGCGCUGAAAGCAUAUUAAGCGCGAAACUGACUCCAAGAUUAGGAAUCCCAUGAGGACACAGAAAGAUGAUCUGUUUGAUAGGCGCAAGGUGUAAACCUGGUAACAGGCUAGCCAAAGCGUACUAAUAGUCCAAUCGCCUUUUUA
rnacentral:rRNA from 1 species